rfam:Salmo salar isolate Sally breed double haploid chromosome ssa01, whole genome shotgun sequence.
AAUGCACCAAUUUGUAAGUCGCUCUGGAUAAGAGCGUCUGCUGAAUGACGUAAA